UACGUAGGCAGCGAGCGUUGUUCGGAGUUACUGGGCGUAAAGGGUGUGUAGGCGGUUGUUUUAAGUUUGGUGUGAAAUCUCCCGGCUCAACUGGGAGGGUGCGCCGAAUACUGAAUGACUAGAGUGCGGGAGAGGAGUGUGGAAUUCCCGGUGUAGCGGUGGAAUGCGCAGAUAUCGGGAGGAACACCCGUGGCGAAGGCGGCACUCUGGGGACGGUACUGACGCUGAGACGCGAAAGCGUGGGGGAGCAAACAGG
rnacentral:rRNA from 1 species